CUUGACUCUUCAUAAGGACACAUUUAAUUGGAGAAGAAGGGACAAGAAGAGAGUCUUAGCUAAAUUCCCUAAGUAGCUCAUGAGGCUGCUGUUUCAGAGCAGAGACUUUAGGCUGCAAAGUGAACUCAGCAGGGGUUGGGAGUUGGUGAAUUACAUCCAUGAAGAAUAUUCUAAUUCUCCAGAAAACCAGAAACUUAUGUACCAGUUUGGCCAUGCAUAGACUGGAUAGAGAUGCUUCCUUUGCUUCCAUUCCUCUCUCCAGAGACUGAGAAGACAUUGAUCCUACCUGGAAAAACUACUUUUUAAGCAAUGCCUUUGAGUAAAAAUUGCUACUUUAUCAAAAAAAAAAAAAAAA